rnacentral:rRNA from 1 species
UACAGAGGUCUCAAGCGUUGUUCGGAUUCAUUGGGCGUAAAGGGCGCGUAGGCGGCCUUCUAAGUCAGACGUGAAAUCCCUCAGCUUAACUGGGGAACUGCGUCUGAUACUGGAUGGCUUGAGUGUGGGAGAGGAAUGCGGAAUUCCAGGUGUAGCGGUGAAAUGCGUAGAUAUCUGGAGGAACACCGGUGGCGAAGGCGGCAUUCUGGACCAUAACUGACACUGAGAGACGAAAGCCAGGGGAGCAAACGGG